UCAGUUUUCAGAUCAGACUCUCAUUUUUCAGUUCUACUAGAGGAUCCUCCUCCUUAAGGUAGCACAACUGAUGGACAAGAAUACUGCCUAGCCCAAUCUCCAUGUUCUGUAGGGAUGGAAACAUCUUUUUCACAAGCAAAACGGUAAGUAGAAAAAAUUAAUUUUGAGACACAUGUGUUAG
rnacentral:lncRNA from 1 species